AGAUUAUUGGUUUGUCAAUUUCUAUUUGGAGGGCACAUGCAGAAGGUUGUGCUAUUGGAAGAUAUUGAAGAUCAGGUUGCUGAGAAACUUGUGGCAAUAUUCCCAGUUACAGUAUUUGAUAUUGAAGAUAUUGGCAAAGGUAAAAAGAGGGCUACUAUAGCCAGGC